CUCUUUUCUUAUUUACUGCUGUGAUGAGCCGUAACACAUAAGGAGGCCAACCGAUCAAUUGGUUCUUCAAUGAAAUACUCUUGUUACGCUUGGCUUCUGAGCAUUUUGUAUUGUCUUGAUAUGUUGA
rnacentral:snoRNA from 1 species